GGAUAGAAAAUGAAUCCCCCUAAAAGAUGAAAUUGUACCCUAGAGAGGAGAUCAAUGUCCUGGAGGCAGCUAUCUCUCCAGGCUGGACUACACAAACCCAGGACAGCAGAGAGUAGACCACCAUAUUUUCUCUAUUUCUGUGGAAACCACACUACCAUAUUUCAAUCAAUAGACCACUAUAUAAAAGUAUCAAGGAGAGAUAUGGAAGGAGCAGCAAGUUUUAACUAAACAAGGAUAUUGGUAGUAAGUACAGAUAUUUAAUUCCCAGGUUUUCAGUCCAUUUUUCUUUUUAUUUUUUUUAUUUCGUCUGGAAAAGAAAAAAUAAGAAAAAGAGCAAAAGAAAAGACAGAAAGAAAGAAGGUUUUGUUAAAUUGUUGUUUUGGGUUCUUUUAGUGCAAUAUUUAAACAAAAAUAUCAAAAAUACAUUUAAUCUAUUUGCCAGCUCUUUCUUUCUGUGUGAAAUGCAGAAACUCUUUGGGGGGUUAUUGCUGUCAUCCAGACAGCAAUCAUUUCACAAAAUGUGACAUUACUUGUUUAGAAUUCAAUUAUGUUUUCUUUCAUGUCAAACAACAUUAAAUGAUCAUUUGAAUUUUGGUCCUUUGACAUCAGUAAUUGUUACAAUUCAUGGCAGAUGACUCCUCAGAUGUCAGAAGUUUGGGCCAAUCGAGAAAAAUCCUUUUAUUUUUCAUGUAGAUAACAACUGACAAUCAACAUGAUUCAGAAAUGCUUAUUACAGUGGAAAUAGUUUUUAUUUAUUUGAUUUCUGCAUAAAGUGCUAGUCAGAAGUUUGGUUGUGCAGUCAUUAAUUUUAAAAGACAGAUGUUUCCAUGACAUGUAAAUUGGUGGCUGGUUUUCCUCACUGAGGACCAUCCUGCAUGACCACCCAUAAUAAUCCUUCUUGUCUUUCUUUCUCUUUCAUUUGAUUCUUGGUCACAUCUUCGUUAUACUUCCAAAGACAAGGUCCUUCACAUUAACUGCCUCUGUCUUUCAUCAGGUUUACUUGGUGGUGUUGACAUUCUCACCCAUUGUCUAGUAUAAUUGAUGCAUAGCUGGUAGUUAGAGCUCUUUGAGAGUUGUCCAACAGGUGGUAGAAGGAAAAACAUCUUAAGGGAACCAAUGCUUUGGCCUCAUAGCUGAAUCAGGGUGCGCAAAUCUGCUUAAAAAGGAAAUGUGACUAAAUUGUUAAAUUUCCAUCUAUUGUUUGGGAAACUGUAUAGAGGUACUGGUCAAGUGUUCUUCCCUUUUAUUUUCAUUUUCCUUCUAUUCUUCCCUUCAUUUACCUAUCUGAAAUGAAAAUUACCUUAUGAUACAGAUCUUGCUGCAGUCAUGUUUGCCUACCUAAUUUCUGGAUUAAUGAUCUACGCAGGAUGGAUUUCGAUGGUUCUUAGAAAAUAUAGCUCUUCAAAUUCAGAAAGGUUAGUUAUUAGCUGCUGUAAUUUAUUAAAGGGAUUAUACUUGUGAUCUUUCAUCCACACUUAUUUAACUUAGUUUCUACAGAGUUUUUACAAGUUAAUUGGUUUUGACCCAAUUCUCCCAGAAGUGUAGAUUUUUGAAUUCACGAAAAUGAGUUAGAGAACCUGUCGCCUUUCAACAGAAAAUAGGUGUCUGUUGCUUGACCCUUUUGAAAUCUCUUCCUCAAUAAUUGAACAUGAUUUUUAAAAAGAAAUUACUCUUUCACAUGAUACAACAUUAAAGUUAUUGCCAUUUUUGGUACAUUGCUUGUUUAAUAUAAUCUCCUUUUCAGAGUUGCUUUUUCUUAGUCAUUAGCCUCCUCAGUUUUUGCAUCUUUAGGACACUUUGCAAAACCCAUAUUUUUUUUCAUAAGUAUUAAAAAAAGAAAAAAAAUAAAAAGCUGGAAGUUUUUUUUUUUUCUUUGUAU
ensembl:lncRNA